rnacentral:rRNA from 1 species
ACCUACGGGGGGCAGCAGUGGGGAAUAUUGGGCAAUGGGCGCAAGCCUGACCCAGCAACGCCGCGUGAAGGAAGAAGGCCCUCGGGUUGUAAACUUCUUUUGUCAGGGACGAAGAAAGUGACGGUACCUGACGAAUAAGCCACGGCUAACUACGUGCCAGCAGCCGCGGUAAUACGUAGGUGGCAAGCGUUAUCCGGAUUUACUGGGUGUAAAGGGCGUGUAGGCGGGACUGCAAGUCAGAUGUGAAAUU